rnacentral:rRNA from 1 species
UCCAGACUCCUACGGGAGGCAGCAGUGGGGAAUAUUGCACAAUGGGGGAAACCCUGAUGCAGCGACGCCGCGUGAGCGAAGAAGUAUUUCGGUAUGUAAAGCUCUCUCAGCAGGGAAGAAAAAAAUGACGGUACCUGAGUAAGAAGCACCGGCUAAAUACGUGCCAGCAGCCGCGGUAAUACGUAUGGUGCAAGCGUUAUCCGGAUUUACUGGGUGUAAAGGGAGCGUAGGCGGCGCGUUAAGUCUGAUGUGAAAACCCGGGGCUCAACCACGGGAGUGCAUUGGAAACUGGCGGGCUGGAGUGCCGGAGAGGUAGGCGGAAUUCCUAGUGUAGCGGUGAAAUGCGUAGAUAUUAGGAGGAACACCAGUGGCGAAGGCGGCUUACUGGACGGCAACUGACGCUGAGGCUCGAAAGCGUGGGGAGCAAACAGGAUUAGAUACCCCGGUA